GACAGCAGACAUUUGUCAAGGUGUUCUGACUCUAAGAAGAUUUUCGUGUCGACCAAGCAUCAAUGUGUUGACUUUGGGCGUCGUGCGGACUAUGCCCCGAGAGGCCAUGCCUCCUAAGCAAGUGGCAUGCGCUCCACCGGACGACGUUUCGGACGAGGACAGCCGAGACCCAGGUGACUUUAUUCGUGCUUUACAGCAGUAUACUGCUAGGAUGGAGCAAGUGGUCGCGACUGACCGAGAGACGGCAAACCAACAAUUUCACCGUCUCCUCCAAGAGAACCAACGCAUUGCUGCGGAAUCACAAGCAUCCAUGGCUGACGCCCUGGCGACAGCUGUCGGCAAAGCUCUCGCUCACAAUUAAUGUCGCCGCCGGAGCGGUGCCGGCCCAGUCCACCCCCCAGUCCCAGCCGCCCCCCGUCGCGGCUUUCGGUGGACUCAGACUCCAGCCUGGACUGGAGCCCCAACCAGGCGUCGCCGCCCCGACCACCGACCCCUGGUCAAUGGCCAGUCAGCUCGAAUUCCAGCCCUCUGCCGCUACCCAGACCGCAGCAACUGCCCCGCCCGAGCCCCGAGUCUUCGCCCCCUACGCGGCCCCCGACCCCGGCCGCUUUUUUGCAACACCUUACGUUGCAUACCACCCCUACACCGUCCUCAACCCGCAAGUCGCUGGACGCCAGCGUGUCUUUACAGUCAGCGACCCGCCAGCCAAGCGCGACAUUGCAGAAGCCUUUGUGCACGUGCAACAAGUGUCACAGCAUUCCCAGCACAUCGGCAGACGCGAGAUCACAGAGCUACAGCUCCUCGAGUGUUUUGUGCAGUUGCGGGACUGCCGGUGCACGGGACCCCCUGUCCCAGCUCGACGCCCAGCGGCCACCAGGACGACGUCCCCUGACCGCACCGCCAGUCCCCCCAGAGGGCUCCGGGCUAGCACACGGAACCAACUGCCCCCCAAGUCGUCCAAAAAGACCAAAAAGUGAGCCCUCCAUGUUCCGACCGACCAGUUCACCGGGCCUUCCCCACCGACCUGUUCCGCCGGAACUCUCCCCGGACCUCCCGGAUUCGACUGCCCUGGGCCUUCCCCACGCCGGCCUUUCCCAGAGUUGUGGGCCGUCCUUUGUACCCUCCUGGUUGCUCCACCCCGGACCCUGGUCAGAUGCGACAACCAAGCAGUCGUCCGCGCCCUGACCCGUGGCCAUGGUCGUUCUUUUUCUGUACUUGAGGCCCUCACGGCCACUUUGCUUCUUUGUAAUAAAGGGUCUUGGAUCUCCUGGAUCUCAACGGACUGCAACCCAGCAGACGGUCCCUCCCGACUCAACCGCACAAUUUCCCGUGGGUCGGGUAGGGACCGCCGCUAGAGGGCCUGCCCUACUUAAAGGGUUGUUCUGGCCGCUGGAGCU